rnacentral:rRNA from 1 species
UACGAAGGGGGCUAGCGUUGCUCGGAAUCACUGGGCGUAAAGCGCACGUAGGCGGCUUUCUAAGUCAGGGGUGAAAUCCUGGAGCUCAACUCCAGAACUGCCUUUGAUACUGGAGAGCUUGAGUCCGGGAGAGGUGAGUGGAACUCCGAGUGGUAGAGGUGAAAUUCGUAGAUAUUCGGAAGAACACCAGUGGCGAAGGCGGCUCGACGUGCCCGGUGUCG